GCCAGGUGUGGUGGUGCACACCUGUAGUCCCAGCUACUCAGGAGGCUGAGGCAGGAGGAUUGCUUGAGCCCAGGAGGUCGAGGCUGCAGUGAGCCAUGAUCAUGCCACUGUACUCCAGCCUGGGCAACAGAGCAAGACCCUGUCUUAU
rnacentral:SRP_RNA from 2 species